UACGGAGGAUGCAAGCGUUAUCCGGAUUUAUUGGGUUUAAAGGGUGCGCAGGUUGUUUGAUAAGUCAGUGGUGAAAGUCUGUCGCUUAACGGUAGGAUUGCCAUUGAUACUGUUGGACUUGAAUAUGGAUGAGGUAGGCGGAAUGUGUAGUGUAGCGGUGAAAUGCAUAGAUAUUACACAGAACACCGGUUGCGAAGGCAGCUUACUAAUCCAUCAUUGACGCUGAGGCACGAAAGCGUGGGGAUCAAACAGGA
rnacentral:rRNA from 1 species